AUUGAACGCUGGCGGCAGGCCUAACACAUGCAAGUCGAACGAGUGGCGGACGGGUGAGUAAUGUCGGGGAACCUGCCCGAUGGAGGGGGAUAACUACUGGCAACGGUAGCUAAUACCGCAUACCAUCAGAUGUGCCCAGAUGGGCUUAGCUAGUAGGUGGGGUAACGGGUCACCGAGGCGACGAUCCCUAGCAGGUCUGAGAGGAUGACCAGCCACACUGGAACUGAUACACGGUCCAGACUCCUACGGGAGGCAGCAGUGGGGAAGAUUGCACAAUGGUCGCAAGCCUGAUGCAGCAAUGCCGCGUGUAUGAAGAAGGCCUUCGGGUUGUAAAGUACUUUCAGCGGGGAGGCGUUACCCGCAGAGGAAGCACCGGCUAACGACGUGCCAGCAGCCGCGGUAAUUC
rnacentral:rRNA from 1 species